GUCAUAGACCCCACGCCUAAAGGCGGGGGCUUGGCCGGGAGGUAACUCCCGGGCAGGUCUCCACUUUAGGUGGAAAGCUGCUCUCCGGAGCAGCGCUAUGACCCGCCUCAGUGUGGGAGCCUGCGGAUCGGGCGGUUGAACCACGCUGCGUUAAGGGGGCCAGCACACCCUGGGAUGCUUCUCCAGUUCCAGGCCCUGUGGUGCGGCAUUAAACAGCGAGCGGGGGUGUCAGCGAGCAGUGUGCCGCACGCAAAAAACCUCCUUAACAUUGGCCAGGAGAGACGCCC
rfam:Desulfotomaculum australicum DSM 11792 genome assembly, contig: EJ60DRAFT_scaffold00046.46